CUGAUGUAUAGCCUGAAAAACUCCUAUUUUGAAUAUUCAUCAGCUAAUCACCAUAUAAGUUUGGCCAUGUUCCUGAGAGACGUCUUUACUUUCGAAAUAUGUCAGAACGGAGGAAACGAAACUUAGUGAAUGUGAACUUGAGGUGUUACUGGCAGUUGGCGGUAUCUAAGGAGUGACCAGCAAUACUCUUGUGGAAGGAUAAUGUUACUGAAAAGUCUAAGAUAAAGGGUCUACUGAGAAGCAGUGGGGACAAGUGGAAACGAACCAUGAGAGAAGUGCCUACACAUUACAAGGCACCCUCACACCCGCAUUCACCAACAAGCCAGUUCCCAGGAUGUCCAAGAUGUUGGUGUGACCGACAGCACGGAAGCAGGCGAGACAAUGCGAAAAUUUGGGAUACCACCUCGUAAUCCUAUUUACUUUUCAACCCAGAAAGAAGAAAAUGGCAACAGAAACAAUCCCAAUCAGUGAACACAGGCUAUAAAGUAUUGAAAUGAUCAUAAACUAAAUAGUUUAUGUAGCAGGUAAUUGCUCAUUUGAGCUCCUCUCUCCUCCAAAGUCCUCUUAAGACGAUGAUUUAUGUGUCUCCAGGACUGGAAGGGGCAAGGCUUUAUUCUGACCUUUUCUGUUGGACUUGGUUGCCCUGAAUGGGUGUGUUUUUUGGGCUGUGAAAAAUGAAGAGGAGACUGUUAGUGACAGUAACCUCUCUCAGCCAAGACUGGAACUACUUACCUCAGCUGGGCUGAGAGGGAGGUCUCUGUGGCGUGCAUGAGUGACAGUGGAUAAUCUCUCUAAUCUUUCACAUUUCACGUUCUUUAUUUAGAGUUAUGGUUACAAACUGUGAGACUCUGAUUUUUUUUUUUUACUUUAAUUUUGUUAGUAAAUUUGCUUUAACACCUGGUAGUUUGUGUUCUUUUUGUAACAACCUCUUCUUUCUUUCUUUAUAUUUCAUCUGUUGUUUUAAAUUAUCUUCUCUUCAAACUGCACCUUGAGAUAGUACACAUUGAAAGCUUGCUUAUCUGGCCUUUCCUCCAUCUAUUUCAUGUCACACACUCCUGCACAUUCUUAAUUUAUUGCCUACUUUCCUUUACUGGCUGUCCAGCAAAUUGAUUUGCUUACUUAUGGAAAGGUAUAUGAUAUUUGGCUCUUUCAACUUCAUAAAAAUGAUAGACUCAACUCAAUUAAUUAAUCUUAGCCCAAAGGUUGAAAUUUGAUAAUCAUAAAAAUGUAAUGUCUUGAAUGUAUGCCAACCUCCUUUCCACAGUAAUAAACAUUUUUGGCAGGUAAUUUUUUGUGGGGCCAUAGCAUACUUUUCUUUUAUGAGCACAGACUUCUCUAAUGAUAAGAUUAAUUUACCUAACUAAUAAUAUCUGUCCUUCUUGUGCUAAUGACUCACAAGAAACACAAAAUUAAAAAAGUCAGGUACUGUAUUGUGACAUUGUCAUAAUUUGACAGAAAAUCUAUAGAUCUAAUCUUUAUUUAAACUGAGAGCCUCACAACCACCUACUGCCCAAGAAAGUAUUUUGGCUACUGAAACAGCAACACCUCAGGUUUAUCACUGACUGACUUUGAGGUGAAAAAGAACAUACCACAAUGCCAUGGAAAGAACAAACAGACUAUACACAUUGCAUGACUCAAACACAAGGCUGUGGGGCUAUCCAGUACUAGCGCUAACCAUCCUGCAGCCAUGCAAUAGAAGGAAAAAGCAAUUUUCUACAUCUCCAUUCAUUCUACAACAGGACUCUCAGGUUCUUUUAAACAGGGCCAUCAUACUGUUAGAUUGCUAGAUUGUUUUGUCAAAGUUACAGGUGCAUACAUAAGGCUUCCUUGGGGGCUGUUUUCAAUUUAGUACCGUUAGAUGGACCUUUUCUAGCGCUUAGUGUACAAUAAGACGCUGCUUAGCCCCAUUCUGAUCAGUAUAAUGUUUAGAGCUAUGCAUUCCUGAUAUUGAUCUUUCUUUCUUUUAUAUAUUUUUUUAAAUUACUACUACUUACUACUUACUUUACUUAAAUCUACUUUUAAGGGAGCAAGUGUUGCUGGACCUUUCAUGCCUCUUCUCUAGUGCAUGCUGCACAGUCACAGCUGGGAAAAGUACAAGCCCGAAGUACAAACACAUGAGUAAUAAUAAUAAAAAAAGUGAUCUUAAUUUGAAAGUCUGCAGCAUUUAAGCCCCAUUGCUAAAUUGGAAGAAUACAAUUUGCACAUGCUUGCACACACCCAGAAGUAAAUGCUGUAGGGCCAAUAGAGCUAUUUCAUGAACCAGAGACAUUCUCAUAGCAUCCAGUGGAAAAACACUUUCACAAAGUUCAAACCUCAUAUUUUUUCUAGACAGAUAAUUACAUUAAGCAUAUGAUGGAAAAUAAAACAAAUGUUGAAAAGACAAGGUUGAAGAUUAUAAUGAGCAUUUAAAUCACAAGUUACUUUACACUUUACUUAUUUUGCACAACAUUAUGUGAGACUGUGCCACACCAGCCUGUAAUGCUGAAACACCACUCGUAAUAAGACAUUUUUUCAAUUUGCCUAUCUAUCCAUUCAUUUUAUUCAUACUUAAUCUUAAUUAUUGUCCUGGUAAAGCUAGAGACUAUACUGGCAGGAAUAGGCACAACUGAUGAGUGUAACCAACAUGAACAGAGUGAUGGGUUGACGCACAGGUACGGUCAUGUCAUUUAAAUUGACAUGACAUUGAGCUGACACACUUACUUGUGUAUCCAUGGUAAAUGAAAAGCAUCUGCAUUGGGUUUGAGGUGGUGGGUGUGCUUGGAUUAGAGUACAAACAGAUUGCUGCAGGAUUCCAUAUGACACGACGCAGCACUAAUAGCAGCAUUCCUUAAUACUAUUAAGGUGAUUCAAAGUUAAUUUAAAAUUUCUACAAACCAGUAUUCUAUAUUGACAUCAAAGUCUAAAGUUAGAAUUGCCUAAACAUAAUAUGGAUCUGAAUUACCUUCCACUGACAAGAAACAAUAAAAAUUGCUAAGUAGUUUGAUUCCUAUCAUAGACUGAACAAGAGAGACUCAGCAUAUGCUAUAAAAAAUAACACUUCAUUCUAUUUCAGUGUGGCUUUGCUCUGUCGCAUAAUUUGCAUUCCUUUCAUUAUUUUAUUUUUCUUGUUGCGUGUGCACAUAACAUGCUGCAAAAAAGUGCUUAAUGCUGAGUGUUAAUUGGUAUAAGGUUUGAAGAGAAAGAUGGUUUAGAUGUGGACGCAAGAAUUCAGUACUAGCCUUUUUGUACCUCAGUUAAUUGUUUUGUCUGAUUACUGCUUGUUCUGUCUUACACAUUUUGUAAUUUGUACCUGAUGCUUAUUUGCUUUUAAUUUAACAUUUUUACUAGUUUACGACCAUUGCUUUUUUAAAUAUUGGUGUCUGUGGGUUGAAAUCUUUUUGUUUCUGCCUGAUCAAAACUAGCAAGACAUAUUUUUCAUUGUACUCUAAGGCAUACAAACAAAAUUAAAUUUGAUUUUAAAAUUAAUGAAAUCUUUUAUAUAUUCUACAUAUUGGAAUUACCCUAGGUGCUGUUCACUGUAUAACGUAUAGACACCGCUUCAGUUUGUUGACGCCGAAUGAAAUAAAC